rnacentral:rRNA from 1 species
UACGGAGGGUGCAAGCGUUAAUCGGAAUUACUGGGCGUAAAGCGCACGCAGGUGGCUGAGUCAGUCGAUUGUGAAAGCCCUGGGCUUAACCUGGGAAUUGCAGUCGAUACUACUCAGCUAGAGUAUGGGAGAGGGCAGUGGAAUUCCCGGUGUAGCGGUGAAAUGCGUAGAUAUCGGGAGGAACAUCAGUGGCGAAGGCGGCUGCCUGGCCCAAUACCGACACUCAGGUGCGACAGCGUGGGGAGCAAACAGG